AUUGAACGCUGGCGGCAGGCCUAACACAUGCAAGUCGAACGGUAACAGGAAGCAGCUUGCUGCUUUGCUGACGAGUGGCGGACGGGUGAGUAAUGUCUGGGAAACUGCCCGAUGGAGGGGGAUAACUACUGGAAACGGUAGCUAAUACCGCAUAACGUCGCAAGACCAAAGAGGGGGACCUUAGGGCCUCUUGCCAUCGGAUGUGCCCAGAUGGGAUUAGCUAGUAGGUGGGGUAACGGCUCACCUAGGCGACGAUCCCUAGCUGGUCUGAGAGGAUGACCAGCCACACUGGAACGGAGACACGGUCCAGACUCCUACGGGAGGCAGCAGUGGGGAAUAUUGCACAAUGGGCGCAAGCCUGAUGCAGCCAUGCCGCGUGUAUGAAGAAGGCCUUCGGGUUGUAAAGUACUUUCAGCGGGGAGGAAGGGAGUAAAGUUAAGACCUUGGCUCAUUGACGUUACCCGCAGAAGAAGCACCGGCUAACUCCGUG
rnacentral:rRNA from 1 species